AACGAACGCUGGCGGCAGGCCUAACACAUGCAAGUCGAGCGCCCCGCAAGGGGAGCGGCAGACGGGUGAGUAACGCGUGGGUAUCUACCUAGUGGUACGGAAUAGCCCAGGGAAACUAGGAGUAAUACCGUAUAGGCCGGAAAGGGGAAAGAUUUAUCGCCAUAAGAUGAGCCGGCGUUGGAUUAGCUAGUUGGUGGGGUAACGGCCCACCAAGGGGAGGAUCCAUAGCUGGUUUGAGAGAAUGACCAGCCACACUGGGACUGAGACACGGCCCAGACUCCUACGGGAGGCAGCAGUGGGGAAUCUUGGACAAUGGGCGAAAGCCUGAUCCAGCCAUGCCGCGUGAGUGACGAAGGUCUUCGGAUUGUAAAGCUCUUUUGGCGGGGACGAUAAUGACGGUACCCGCAGAAUAAGCCCCGGCUAACUUCGUGCCAGCCGCCGCAGUAAAAC
rnacentral:rRNA from 1 species